rnacentral:rRNA from 1 species
UACGGGGGGAGCAAGCGUUGUUCGGAUUUACUGGGCGUAAAGGGCGCGUAGGCGGCGUGACAAGUCACUUGUGAAGUCUCCGGGCUUAACCCGGAGCGGCCAAGUGAUACUGUCGUGCUAGAGUGCGGAAGGGGCUACUGGAAUUCCCGGUGUAGCAGUGAAAUGCGUAGAGAUCGGGAGGAACAUCCGUGGCGAAGGCGACUACCUGGACCAGCACUGACACUGAGGCACGAAAGCGUGGGGAGCAAACAGG